GACGAACGCUGGCGGCGUGCCUUAUACAUGCAAGUUGAGCGCUGAAGGUUGGUACUUGUACCAACUGGAUGAGCAGCGAACGGGUGAGUAACGCGUGGGGAAUCUGCCUUUGAGCGGGGGACAACAUUUGGAAACGAAUGCUAAUACCGCAUAAAAACUUUAAACACAAGUUUUAAGUUUGAAAGAUGCAAUUGCAUCACUCAAAGAUGAUCCCGCGUUGUAUUAGCUAGUUGGUGAGGUAAAGGCUCACCAAGGCGAUGAUACAUAGCCGACCUGAGAGGGUGAUCGGCCACAUUGGGACUGAGACACGGCCCAAACUCCUACGGGAGGCAGCAGUAGGGAAUCCUCGGCAAUGGACGAAAGUCUGACCGAGCAACGCCGCGUGAGUGAAGAAGGUUUUCGGAUCGUAAAACUCUGUUGGUAGAGAAGAACGUUGGUGAGAGUGGAAAGCUCAUCAAGUGACGGUAACUACCCAGAAAGGGACGGCUAACUACGUG
rnacentral:rRNA from 1 species